rnacentral:lncRNA from 1 species
GUUCCCUGUCAACAUCGGACAUCAAACCAAGGUCAACUGCACUGAUUUCAUUCAUUUACACUCGUUCAAAAACAUUCUUUUUAGCGGAAUCGAAACAUUUAACAAUAAUUCAUGUUCUUUGACGUGAAGCCUUCGGCCCACGUGCUCAAAUCCCCACAGCUGUCAGUUCUGCCGGCUGUUCUGCUUACCACCGAUCCCAUUCCUGGUUCCUCCUUUUCACACUGAGGUGUUGGAAUAGUAAAACAUCCACUGUAACGGAAUUCCUCCCCGGUUCCGUCUGUCCACUGUAAUUUCCCAACUGGGGCUUUCGCUUUGAGGCUGUGCAAACGAGGUGCCAGGCAAAAAGGAAUUUCACCUGCGGCCACAGCGCCGUAACAUUCUGAACGUGUCUGCACCCAUCCACGCACACGCGGCCAUGUGGACACACCUUGGCCAACAGCUUCCCUGUUAAACCUGCCUCUUUCUCAUGUGUGAAACAUUAGAAGUGCUCAAAAAAACGAUAAGUAGUCAAGUCACGCCUUACCUGGCGAGCAGGUCCGCUGUGAAGGCAGUGUGUUUGAUCCCGUGAGACCGUGUGUGUGUGUGUGUGUGUGUGUGUGUGUGUGAAGAGUGAGAACAAGUUCUUUCUUCAGGUCUUAUCAAUGUGAUCGGAGUGGGUGUGUGUUCACUUUUUGUCGGUGUGUGUGUGUGCGUUUCCUCUUUGAAUUCAGAUUGCAACACUUUCAGAAGUAGGUGGUGACUCUGCUGUAAUCUGGAUGGAGGAUGGAAGUGGCGGCUGAAACUGAAAUAUUGAAAUUCAGUAUUCUUGGUUGUGAUGAGGUGAAAGGGACAAGCUGGUGAUGGUGUCAUUAUGCCAUGACUUCUAGAUUAAGCUGCUAUGAAAGGCGAGGAAUAUCCCUUAAGGCUUCAACUAAGACUUCUACGUUUCAUCUUUCUUCAGUUGUUCAGAAUUUCCAAAGGCCAUUGAUAUUGCUGCUCAUACUUGCAUGCACACAUUUGGUUUGUCCCCC